GGGGGUGAACGGUUUCGACUCUGGACGUUGAGUCAAGGGAAGCGUGCAGGUGCAGGCGAGAGACCACCUCAAGCGUCAUCGCAAACCAAUAAGCGCCAAGACCUCGAGUCAGCGCGAGUUCGCCCUCGCUGCCUGAGCAGCGACGGUGACUCUGUCAGCCCGGGAGUGCCUCCGGCCCGGUUUGCUGGCAUCAGCUAGGAGGCUUACCGCCGGGUCCGGUCGCGGGGCCCGGUUGGGAAGCUCACAGCGACUGGGCUCGUCACGUCGGCAGGUUCACAUGACCGACGGAGCCAAGUAGAGGCAGAGUGAACUGCGCACGGAGAAGCCUUGGCAAGGCGGCAGAGGACCCGGGUUCGAUUCCCGGCACCUCCACUC
rnacentral:tmRNA from 1 species